UGCAGGGGGCGGGCGGGGCGGGGCUCUGCUUGGGGGUGUGGCCUGGGCAGGGGGCGGGUUUGAGGGUUUUAAGCCAGGCUUUUCCGGGUUUUUACCUUUGCUUCCCCCAUCCGGGAGUCCGGUGCCGCUGAGCUCCUGCACAGUUCGUCCUGCCCCGGAGGAGGUGCCAGGAAAGAGAGCCCGAACCCCCUGACGCCAGACCCCUUUUCCCUUCCAGCUCGGCCUUCUGGGACCCCCGGCCAGGGAGCAGGGAGCAUGGAGGAGUGUGUAGAGGACGCUGCGCUGGAGCCCUGCAGGUGGCCCCCCCAGGUAAGCAGCAUCGACCUCUCCUGACAAGGAUCCUCAGGCCCCAGGUGUAGACACUCCUCUCUCUCCUAAUAUGGAGGUUCAGGCCCCAGGUGUAGAUGCUCCUCUGUCUCAUGACAUGGAGGCUCAGGCCCCAGGUGUAGACACUCCUCUCUCCUGACAUGGAUGCUCAGGCUCCAGGGGUAGACACUCCUCUCUCUCCUAACAUGGAGGUUCAGGCCCCAGGUGUAGAUGCUCCUCUGUCUCCUGACAUGGAGGCUCAGGCCCCCAGUGU
rnacentral:lncRNA from 1 species